UACGUAGGGCGCAAGCGUUGUCCGGAAUUAUUGGGCGUAAAGAGCUCGUAGGCGGUUUGUCGCGUCUGCUGUGAAAACCUAAGGCUCAACCUUGGGCUUGCAGUGGGUACGGGCAGACUAGAGUGCGGUAGGGGUGACUGGAAUUCCUGGUGUAGCGGUGAAAUGCGUAGAGAUCCGGAGGAACACCAGUGGCGAAGGCGACACGCUGGGCCGUACCUGACGCUAAAGCGCGACAGCAUGGGGAGCAAACGGG
rnacentral:rRNA from 1 species